rnacentral:rRNA from 1 species
UACGAAGGGUGCAAGCGUUAAUCGGAAUUACUGGGCGUAAAGGGUGCGUAGGCGGUUAGUUAAGUCUGUUGUGAAAUCCCCGGGCUCAACCUGGGAAUGGCAAUGGAUACUGGCUGGCUAGAGUGUGUCAGAGGAUGGUGGAAUUCCCGGUGUAGCGGUGAAAUGCGUAGAGAUCGGGAGGAACAUCUGUGGCGAAGGCGGCCAUCUGGACCAGCACUGACACUGAGGCACGAAAGCGUGGGGAGCAAACAGG